rnacentral:rRNA from 1 species
CGAAGGGGGCUAGCGUUGCUCGGAAUUACUGGGCGUAAAGGGGGCGUAGGCGGACAUUUAAGUCAGAGGUGAAAUCCCGGAGCUUAACUUCGGAACUGCCUUUGAUACUGGGUGUCUUGAGUGUGAGAGAGGUAUGUGGAACUCCGAGUGUAGAGGUGAAAUUCGUAGAUAUUCGGAAGAACACCAGUGGCGAAGGCGACAUACUGGCUCAUUACUGACGCUGAGGCUCGAAAGCGUGGGGAGCAAACAGGAUUAGAUACCCUGGUAGUCCACGCCGUAAACGAUGAUUGCUAGUUGUCGGGAAGCUUGCUUCUCGGUGACGCAGCUAACGCAUUAAGCAAUCCGCCUGGGGAGUACGGUCGCAAGAUUAA